UACGUAGGGUGCAAGCGUUAAUCGGAAUUACUGGGCGUAAAGCGUGCGCAGGCGGUUCGCUAAGACAGAUGUGAAAUCCCCGGGCUUAACCUGGGAACUGCAUUUGUGACUGGCAAGCUAGGGUAUGGCAGAGGGGGGUAGAAUUCCACGUGUAGCAGUGAAAUGCGUAGAGAUGUGGAGGAAUACCGAUGGCGAAGGCAGCCCCCUGGGCCAAUACUGACGCUCAUGCACGAAAGCGUGGGGAGCAAACAGG
rnacentral:rRNA from 1 species